rnacentral:lncRNA from 1 species
GAGCAGAUAUAUGGGCACAAAUCAUUGUCAAAAGAGAGAGAAUCUCUGAGAAGCACAGGAAUUCCUAAAGGCAUAUUUACUUCAAAUGCUUUGACAUUGCUAUCCGAUUUAGUGCGAAUGUGGUGUUAGAUACAUCCUAUCACCUUCCUGAUCAACAGCAGAUGAGAUAUAGAGAGCAUUAUUUAUACUGCAUCCUAACAUUUAAAGACCAUUACGUACACGCUCACCUGUGAUAAGAGUAUGGCGAAGGAAAUUAUUUUAAGUCAAGGGGGGUUUCGAAUAAACGAUCAAAUACUUAAACCAAAUAAGAUUGAAGCUUUGAUAUCAUUUGAUCUUACCUAAGGAGCAAGCCAAGUAACUAGGAAGCCGCUAAAGACUGCCAAAUCGAGUAGCCAUCAGAGAGGCUGAGUGAAUUAAUAACAAAAAAAAAGAAAGGCUGAGUGAAUAUAAAUGUCAAAUUAAACCAAUCAUGCAUCGUGAGCUGUAGGUCUUUUCCUAGUGACAUAACCAAAGGGAUCAAAAUACAAUAUAGAUCAGGCAGUUACCAAGAGAUGGUAUAGGAUCUGAUAUUUAAUGAGAUAUGGCA